rnacentral:rRNA from 1 species
UCGCCCUGUUUAACAAAAACAUUUCCUUUGGUGUUUGAAGUAAAAGGUAAAGCCUGCCCGGUGUAGUAGUAAACGGCUGCGGUAUCUUAACCGUACGAAGGUAGCAUAAUAAGUAGUCUUUUAAUUGGAGACUGGAAUGAAUGGUUUAAUGAGAAAUUAACUGUUUUGUUAGGAAUAGUGGAAAUUGAUUAGUAAGUGAAAAGGCUUACAUUAACAAAGUGACAAGAAGACCCUAAGAGCUUAAUACUUAAGAUUUGUUGUUUAGCAGGAUGAAUGUAAUGUUUAAUAAAUAUUAGGUGUUUGACUGGGGCGGUUAGAAUAUUUUCAAUUGAUGAAACUUACUAAAAUUAUAGGAGUGUAAAUUAAUGAAUAUCCUAGUUGGAAAACAUAAAUAGUUACCUUAGGGAUAACAGCAUAAUCUUUUUUGAGAGAUCUUAUUGACAAAAAGGUUUGUGACCUCGAUGUGGGAUUUAGAUAACUGUAGGGAGCAGAAUUUCUACAAGUUGGUCUGUUCGACCAUUAAAUUCUAACGUGAUCUGAGUUCAAACCGGA